UAGGGAAUUUUCGUCAAUGGGCGCAAGCCUGAACGAGCAAUGCCGCGUGAACGAGGAAGGUCUUCGGAUCGUAAAGUUCUGUUGAAGGGGAAAAAGAGUGGAGAGAGGAAAUGGUCUCCGAUUGAUAUUACCCUUCGAGGAAGUCACGGCUAACUACGUGCC
rnacentral:rRNA from 1 species